GCUGGCGGCAGGCUUAACACAUGCAAGUCGAACGGUAACAGGGGAAAGCUUGCUUUCUUGCUGACGAGUGGCGGACGGGUGAGUAAUGCUUGGGAAUCUGGCUUAUGGAGGGGGAUAACGACGGGAAACUGUCGCUAAUACCGCGUAGAGUCGAGAGACGAAAGUGUGGGACCGCAAGGCCACAUGCCAUGAGAUGAGCCCAAGUGGGAUUAGGUAGUUGGUGGGGUAAAGGCCUACCAAGCCGACGAUCUCUAGCUGGUCUGAGAGGAUGACCAGCCACACCGGGACUGAGACACGGCCCGGACUCCUACGGGAGGCAGCAGUGGGGAAUAUUGCGCAAUGGGGGCAACCCUGACGCAGCCAUGCCGCGUGAAUGAAGAAGGCCUUCGGGUUGUAAAGUUCUUUCGGUGACGAGGAAGGUUGUUGUGUUAAUAGCGCAACAAAUUGACGUUAAUCACAGAAGAAGCACCGGCUAACUCCGUGCCAGCAGCCGCGGUAAUACGGAGGGUGCGAGCGUUAAUCGGAAUAACUGGGCGUAAAGGGCACGCAGGCGGCUAUUUAAGUGAGGUGUGAAAUCCCCGGGCUUAACCUGGGAAUUGCAUUUCAGACUGGGUAGCUAGAGUACUUUAGGGAGG
rnacentral:rRNA from 1 species